rnacentral:rRNA from 1 species
UAGGUUGAUGGCGACCGGCGCACGGGUGAGUAACACGUAUCCAACCUACCGGUUAUUCCGGGAUAGCCUUUCGAAAGAAAGAUUAAUACCGGAUAGUAUAACGAGAAGGCAUCUUCUUGUUAUUAAAGAAUUUCGAUAACCGAUGGGGAUGCGUUCCAUUAGUUUGUUGGCGGGGUAACGGCCCACCAAGACAUCGAUGGAUAGGGGUUCUGAGAGGAAGGUCCCCCACAUUGGAACUGAGACACGGUCCAA